rnacentral:rRNA from 1 species
UCAUGGGCGAGAGCCUGAACCAGCCAAGCUAGCGUGAAGGAUGACUGCCCUAUGCNCNUGUAAACUUNNUUUAUAAAGGAAUAAAGUCGGGUAUGCAUACCCGUUUGCAUGUACUUUAUGAAUAAGGAUCGGCUAACUCCGUGCCAGCAGCCGCGGUAAUACGGAGGAUCCGAGCGUUAUCCGGAUUUAUUGGGUUUAAAGGGAGCGUAGAUGGAUGUUUAAGUCAGUUGUGAAAGUUUGCGGCUCAACCGUAAAAUUGCAGUUGAUACUGGAUAUCUUGAGUGCAGUUGAGGCAGGCGGAAUUCGUGGUGUAGCGGUGAAAUGCUUAGAUAUCACGAAGAACUCCGAUUGCGAAGGCAGCUCACUAGACUGUCACUGACACUGAUGCUCGAAAGUGUGGGUAUCAAACAGGAUUAGAUACCCUGGUAGUCCAAGGGCGAAUUC